rnacentral:rRNA from 1 species
UACGAAGGGUGCAAACGUUGCUCGGAAUUAUUGGGCGUAAAGAGCUCGUAGGCGGUUUGUCGCGUCUGCUGUGAAAACUCGGGGCUUAACUCCGGGCCUGCAGUGGGUACGGGCAGACUAGAGUGCGGUAGGGGGAGACUGGAAUUCCUGGUGUAGCGGUGAAAUGCGCAGAUAUCAGGAGGAACACCGGUGGCGAAGGCGGCUCUCUGGACGGAUACUGACGCUGAGGCACGAAAAGCGUGGGGGAUCAAACAGG